rnacentral:rRNA from 1 species
UACGGGGGGAGCAAGCGUUGUUCGGAUUUACUGGGCGUAAAGGGCGCGUAGGCGGUCAGCACAAGUCAGUUGUGAAAUCUCCGGGCUUAACUCGGAAAGGUCAACUGAUACUGUGCGACUAGAGUGCAGAAGGGGCAACUGGAAUUCCGGGUGGAGUGGUGAAAUGCGUAGAGAUCCGGAGGAACACCGAAGGCGAAGGCAGUGUCCUGGCGAGUGACUGACGCUGAGGUGCGAAAGCCAGGGGAGCGAGCGGG